GAUGAACGCUGGCGGCGUGCCUAACACAUGCAAGUCGAACGGAGUAUAUGCGCUGAUGAUCGAAGCGCUUGCAUAGAGAGAAUCUUGCAUAUACUUAGUGGCGGACGGGUGAGUAACGUGUGGAUAACCUGGUCCAUCCAGGGGGAUAGCAGCUGGAAACGGCUGGUAAUACCGCAUAAGCGCACAGCAGGGCAUCCUGCGGUGUGAAAAGAUUUAUCGGGAUGGAAUGGAUCCGCAUCUGAUUAGCCAGUCGGCGGGGUAACGGCCCACCGAAGCGACGAUCAGUAGCCGGCCUGAGAGGGCGGACGGCCACAUUGGGACUGAGACACGGCCCAGACUCCUACGGGAGGCAGCAGUGGGGGAUAUUGCACAAUGGGGGGAACCCUGAUGCAGCGACGCCGCGUGGGUGAAGAAGUAUUUCGGUAUGUAAAGCCCUAUCAGCAGGGAAGAUAAUGACGGUACCUGAGUAAGAAGCCCCGGCUAACUACGUGCCAGCAGCCGCGGUAAUACGUAGGGGGCAAGCGUUAUCCGGAUUUACUGGGUGUAAAGGGAGCGCAGACGGAAGAGGAAGUCAGAUGUGGAAGCGAUGGGCAUAACCCAUGGAGUGCAUUUGAAACUCCUUGUCUAGAGUACUGGAGGGGUGAGCGGAAUUCCUGGUGUAGCGGUGAAAUGCGUAGAUAUCAGGAAGAACACCGGCGGCGAAGGCGGCUCACUGGACAGCAACUGACGUUGAGGCUCGAAAGCGUGGGGAGCAAACA
rnacentral:rRNA from 1 species